CGUGGAGACAGGUGGUGCAUGGCUGUCGUCAGCUCGUGUCGUGAGAUGUUGGGUUAAGUCCCGCAACGAGCGCAACCCUCACCCCUGGUUGCCACCGGGUAAAGCCGAGCACUCGAGGGGAACUGCCAGCGUCAAGCUGGAGGAAGGCGGGGAUGACGUCAAGUCAUCAUGCCCCUUACGCCCCGGGCUACACACGUGCUACAAUGGCCGGUACAAAGGGACGCGAGACCGCGAGGUGGGGCUAAUCCCAAAAAACCGGUCUAAGUUCAGAUUGCAGUCUGCAACUCGACUGCAUGAAGGAGGAAUCGCUAGUAAUCGCGCAUCAGCACGGCGCGGUGAAUACGUUCCCGGGCCUUGUACACACCGCCCGUCACACCACGAAAGCUGUCUGUACUCGAAGUCGCUGAG
rnacentral:rRNA from 1 species